AGUAGGCGCAGAUCGCUAAGGGGCUUGUGUAGCGCUUGGCGCGGCUGAGCGGGGCCUGCGGGGGAGAAGGAGGGCGGAGCUGGUGGCUGUGUUGGGUCCCCGACCCAGGGCUGCGUUUAUAGCCCAGCCAUCCCCACCCCGGUCCCGGAGCAGCCAAUCCCCCGCGUGCCAAGAAAGGACAGGCACCUCAGAGGAACAUCUAGAAGAGCUAGCUCUGAAACAGACGUCUCCUUGGGCCAACAUGACACCCCUAUGCCUCAUUUUCAAUGGACUAGGCACAUGGCCCCCCAAGACGUCCAGCGAGCAGGGGUAGGGCGUGGGCAGGGCUCACCAUCCCGAGAGGCCACGCUGCCAUAGUUGCAAGCAAUGUGGAGAAAGGUGUGAGGGGAACAUGACCAAGUCUGCAGCCAGGCACCUUCUGAGGGCAUUUGUGCAUCAAGGAUCCCCAGACCGAGUCCCUGAAGCAGGACGACUUGCAACCACGUCCUCUGUGUCCUAGGGUGCAGGACAACACGAGCUUGUCAGCUGGUGGUUCGAGAGCACGUCACGUGCCAUUGCAUCGACGCACUGACUAUUAGACAAUCCAGCACCGAAGCGUAACUUCAACCAUGGGCGCCGUCCUGCUCUGUGGAAAGUGACUCUCAGGCUUCCGUGCCUGGAGUGUGGGGGCUGGGGAAACGCCGCUGCUCGGGGUGGAGGUCUGGAGCACAAUUCCUAGGGCGCCGUGUGUUAAAUCUUUAAGAUUAGUAUUUUUAUAUUGCCAGAGGCGUCCACCAAGUUGGGGCCCUGUUGUGCUAGGAACUAAAUUGAUACGUAGUAAAUGAUGGUCCCAGGUGUUUACAGUCUAAAGCCAGGAUACAAGAGGUGCUUAGGCAAACAACGGGGCAGGAUGUCAGCGGGGCGGACGGCUGUGGGGUGUUUCUUUUAGAAUGGAGUCCAAAUUAAUAAAUAAAGUCCCUUGGCAUAGCCUACCAAGGAU